GUGUCCACAUGAACUCUGAAGGAGGAAGCCAUGAUGUCAGCUAUCUGAUCCCUUUGUCAUCACUGCUAGACAGCCAGCAUGUAAUUUCAAAUGUCCAGUCCAUCCAUGAACAAUAUGUUAGCCUUUGGCCAGGCGGUGAGCUUCCAAAAUGCAAACAUCUCAGCCUCUGUCUGCAGAGGUGAGAAUUCAGCUCGGCAGAGGAAUGGGACACUGUCAAGGAAGACAAGCUUUUGGAGUCAGACAAUGCCAGCUAUUUGCUGAUCUAUUUGUUCAAUGCUGGUCUCCCACACUAGACCAUGAGCAGGAAGGAGAGGCAGCAUGCAACUGUGCUCGUUGUCUACACAGGGCCUAGCACUGGGCCUGGGCCAGGGCAGGCACCUGGGAGGACCUGUCUCCAAAGGCAGGAGGACAUUUAAAAAUGCAUGGGUCUCUGCUAGGUGACACAUCCUGCUUAGGAGUCUGCUGGCCUCCAGUCUGGGACAACAGAGCACUUCAAAUAGGCACCUGUGUUCAUCGCGGUGCUUUCUGUCCACACAGGGCCUUGGUUUCUGAGGCUGAGAGAGGAUAAGCUAAGCAAGGGGCAGAACAGGACACCGACCAUCUCCAGACCCCAGUACAACACAGAUGGCAGGCCAAAGAGGGACUGUGUCGUCUGAUUCAAGAGUACAGACUACACAGCCAGAAUAAUCGGGGCCUGGCUUGGACUCUCUUUAAAUAUUCAUUCCUCAUCUGUAAAAUGAGCAUAUGAGUCCCACUUCACCGGACUGUAGGACAUACGUGAAGGACUCUGCAGUGUCUGGAACAUAUUUAUGGCCCCUGAAAUAAAUAGUUAUUGAUGACAGAGAUGAAAAGAAGAAGAUCCAAUGGAGUAAUCUUCAAGGCCUGCUUCAAGUCUUGCCUUGAGAUUCUACAAUCUUCAGAAGAAAUAGCAGUACUUCCUAGCACACAGAUUGCUGCAAGAGAGAAGGUCACCUAUCUCCCCAGGUAGCCUCUCUCACCCUGACAAUGUAUCUUCACAGGUAAGGGACAAAGACAAGACUAGAAAUCAUCCCUCUGCCCACCUCAAGACAAAUGCAGAUCUGACUUCUUCUUCCUCUACUCUAUGUUUACCUUAUCUUAUGUAAAAUACAAGAUUUACUAAGCAGGA